GUGCUUGCUACUGCAGCACAGAUAAUAAAUCUAGAAAGAUAUAAAGAAGAACAGCAUGUCCCUGCAUAUGGAUGUCAGCAAAUUCAUGAGGCAUUCCAUUAUUAA